UCCGAGAGGUUUCUAUUUUCAUUGGCUGA
rnacentral:piRNA from 1 species